rnacentral:rRNA from 1 species
CAAGUUCUGACAUCCUCUGAAAACCCUGAGAUAGGGCUUCUCCUUCGGGAGCAGAUGACAAGUGGUGCAUGGUUGUCGUCAGCUCGUGUCGUGAGGAGUUGGGUUAAGUCCCGCAACGAGCGCAACCCUUGAUCUUAGUUGCCAUCAUUAAGUUGGGCACUCUAAGGUGACUGCCGGUGACAAACCGGAGGAAGGUGGGGAUGACGUCAAAUCAUCAUGCCCCUUAUGACCUGGGCUACACACGUGCUACAAUGGACGGUACAAAGAGCUGCAAGACCGCGAGGUGGAGCUAAUCUCAUAAAACCGUUCUCAGUUCGGAUUGUAGGCUGCAACUCGCCUACAUGAAGCUGGAAUCGCUAGUAAUCGCGGAUCAGCAUGCCGCGGUGAAUACGUUCCCGGGCCUUGUACACACCGCCCGUCACACCACGAGAGUUUGUAACACCCGAAGUCGGUGGGGUAACCUUUUUGGAGCCAGCCGCCUAAGGUGGGACAGAUGAUUGGGGUGAAGUCGUAACA